rnacentral:misc_RNA from 1 species
GAUGAAGAACGUAGCGAAAUGCGAUAAGUAAUGUGAAUUGCAGAAUUCAGUGAAUCAUCGAAUCUUUGAACGCACCUUGCGCCCUUUGGCCAUUCCGAAGGGCAUGUCUGUUUGAGUAUCAUGAACACCUCAACUCUUCAUGGUUUUCCGUGAUGAGCUUGGACUUUGGGGGUCUUGCUGGCCUAUGGUCAGCUCCUCUAAAAUAAAUCAGCUUGCCAGUGUUUGGUGGGUAUCACAGGUGUGAUAACUAUCUACGCUUGUGGUUUUCCACCAGGUAACCUUCAGCAGUGGAGGUUCGCUGGAGCUCACAGAUGUGUCUCUCCUCAGUGAGGACAGCUCUUUGAAUGUUUGAUCUCAAAUCAGGUAGGACUACCCGCUGAACUUAAGCAUAUCAAUAAGCGGAGGA